CCCGCCCAUAAAACUACCAACACCAUAAUAUACAACACAGAUUCACCUUAACCAUUACUGGCACAUUUAUGGAAUCUGUACAGAUAUAAAUAAUAUAAGUGGAUAUCAUCAAAGAUCUGGUGGAUAUGUAUAUUUUCUUUCUAUCAAGCAGCAAAAAGUUUUUUAAAUAUUAGUUGAGGUAAAUGUAUGAGUAGAAUAGCAGUGCUGAGGUAAAAGUAUGAGUAGAAUAGCUCUACUGAGGUAAAUGUAUAAGUAGAAUAGCACUGCCGAGGUCAAUGUAUGAGUAGAAUAGCACUGCUGAGGUAAAUGUAUGAGUAGAAUAGCAGUGCUGAGGUAAAAGUAUGAGUAGAAUAGCUCUACUGAGGUAAAUGUAUGAGUAGAAUAGCAGUGCUGAGGUAAAUGUAUGAGUAGAAUAGCAGUGCUGAGGUAAAUGUAAGAGUAGAAUAGCAGUGCUGAGGUAAAAGUAUGAGUAGAAUAGCUCUACUGAGGUAAAUGUAUAAGUAGAAUAGCACUGCCGAGGUCAAUGUAUGAGUAGAAUAGCACUGCUGAGGUAAAUGUAUGAGUAGAAUAGCAGUGCUGAGGUAAAAGUAUGAGUAGAAUAGCUCUACUGAGGUAAAUGUAUGAGUAGAAUAGCAGUGCUGAGGUAAAAGUAUGAGUAGAAUAGCUCUACUGAGGUAAAUGUAUAAGUAGAAUAGCACUGCCGAGGUCAAUGUAUGAGUAGAAUAGCAGUGCUGAGGUAAAUGUAUGAGUAGAAUAGCAGUGCUGAGGUAAAAGUAUGAGUAGAAUAGCACCGCUGAGGUAAAUGUAUGAGUAGAAUAGCACUGCUGAGGUAAAUGUAUGAGUAGAAUAGCACUGCUGAGGUCAAUGUAUGAGUAGAAUAGCAGUGCUGAGGUAAAAGUAUGAGUAGAAUAGCUCUACUGAGGUAAAUGUAUGAGUAGAAUAGCAGUGCUGAGGUAAAAGUAUGAGUAGAAUAGCUCUACUGAGGUAAAUGUAUGAGUAGAAUAGCAGUGCUGAGGUAAAAGUAUGAGUAGAAUAGCACUGCUGAGGUAAAUGUAUGCGCAUAAUAGCUCUAUUGAAGUACAUUUAUGGAACAUUAAUAGAAACUGUACAGGUGUAAAUUGGCUGGAUAUCAUCAGCAAUCUGGUAGAUAUGUAUAUUUUCUUUCUAUUAAGCAGCACAAAAAGUUGUUAAAUGUUAAUUUUACAUUUCAAAACCCUUUCCUUUACUGAGGAAUAGGACUCUCAUGAUAACUCUUAAUUAUUUAUUUUUGGAAAAA